GACGAACGCUGGCGGCGUGCUUAACACAUGCAAGUCGAACGCUGAAGCUUGGUGCUUGCACUGGGUGGAUGAGUGGCGAACGGGUGAGUAAUACGUGAGUAACCUGCCCUUGACUCUGGGAUAAGCCUGGGAAACUGGGUCUAAUACUGGAUAUGACAUGCCACUGCAUGGUGGUGUGUGGAAAGGGUUUUACUGGUUUUGGAUGGGCUCACGGCCUAUCAGCUUGUUGGUGGGGUAAUGGCCUACCAAGGCGACGACGGGUAGCCGGCCUGAGAGGGUGACCGGCCACACUGGGACUGAGACACGGCCCAGACUCCUACGGGAGGCAGCAGUGGGGAAUAUUGCACAAUGGGCGGAAGCCUGAUGCAGCGACGCCGCGUGAGGGAUGACGGCCUUCGGGUUGUAAACCUCUUUCAGCACGGAAGAAGCGAGAGUGACGGUACGUGCAGAAGAAGCGACGGCUAACUACGUG
rnacentral:rRNA from 1 species